CAGCCGCCACGGGAAUACGAAGGGGGCUAGCGUUGCUCGGAAUGACUGGGCGUAAAGGGCGCGUAGGCGGUUCGUACAGUUGGAUGUGAAAUUCCUGGGCUUAACCUGGGGGCUGCAUUCAAUACGUGCGGGCUUGAGUGUGGAAGAGGGUUGUGGAAUUCCCAGUGUAGAGGUGAAAUUUGUAGAUAUUGGGAAGAACACCGGUGGCGAAGGCGGCAACCUGGUCCAUAACUGACGCUGAGGCGCGAAAGCGUGGGGAGCAAACAGGAUUAGAUACCCCCGUAGUCCCUGUCUCUUAUAC
rnacentral:rRNA from 1 species